rnacentral:rRNA from 1 species
GCGAACGUUAUCCGGAUUUACUGGGCGUAAAGCGCGUGUAGGUGGUACUGUAAGUAGGGCGUGAAAGCUCCUGGCUCAACUGGGAGAGGCCGUUCUAAACUACAGAACUAGAGGAUGGUAGAGGGAGGUGGAAUUCCAGGUGUAGCGGUGGAAUGCGCAGAUAUCUGGAGGAACACCGGUGGCGAAGGCGGCCUCCUGGACCAUUCCUGACACUCAGACGCGAAAGCUAGGGUAGCAAACGGGAUUAGAGACCCCGGUAGUCCUAGCCCUAAACGAUGUAGACUAGGCGUCGGAAGCUUAAUCGCUUUCGGUGUCCAAGCUAACGCGAUAAGUCUACCGCCUGGGGACUACGGCCGCAAGGUUAAAACUCAAAGGAAUUGACGGGUCCCCGCACAAGCAGCGGAGCGUGUGGUUUAAUUCGUUGCUACACGAAGAACCUUACCUGGGUUUGACAUAGCAGUGGUAGGGAAGCGAAAGCGGACCGACCCUUCGGGGAGCUGUUACAGGUGUUGCAUGGCUGUCGUCAGCUCGUGUCGUGAGAUGUUCGGUUAAGUCCGCUAACGAGCGCAACCCGCGUUGUGUGUUACAAGUGUCACACAAUACCGCCGGUAUUAAGUCGGAGGAAGGUGCGGAUGUCGUCAAGUCAGCAUGACCUUUAUAUCCAGGGCUACACACACGCUACAAUGGUCAGCACAAUAGGUUGCCAAGUCGUGAGACGGAGCCAAUCCUCCAAAGCUGGCCUCAGUUCAGAUUGCAGGCUGCAACUCGCCUGCAUGAAGUUGGAGUUGCUAGUAACCGCAGGUCAGCUAUACUGCGGUGAAUACGUUCCCGGGGAUU